rnacentral:rRNA from 1 species
UACAGAGGGUGCGAGCGUUGUUCGGAAUUACUGGGCGUAAAGGGCGCGUAGGCGGUUUAACAAGUCGAUUGUGAAAGCCCGGGGCUUAACCUCGGAAGUGCAGUCGAAACUGUUAGACUAGAGUGCAGUAGAGGUUGGUGGAAUACCCAGUGUAGAGGUGAAAUUCGUAGAUAUUGGGUGGAACACCGGUGGCGAAGGCGGCCAACUGGGCUGCAACUGACGCUGAGGCGCGAAAGCGUGGGGAUCAAAC